UACGGGGGGGGCAAGCGUUGUUCGGAAUUACUGGGCGUAAAGCGUGCGCAGGCGGCUUUGCAAGACAGAUGUGAAAUCCCCGGGCUUAACCUGGGAACUGCAUUUGUGACUGCAUGGCUGGAGUGCGGCAGAGGGGGAUGGAAUUCCGCGUGUAGCAGUGAAAUGCGUAGAUAUGCGGAGGAACACCGAUGGCGAAGGCAAUCCCCUGGGCCUGCACUGACGCUCAGGCACGAAAGCGUGGGGAGCAAACAGG
rnacentral:rRNA from 1 species